UACGUAGGGGGCUAGCGUUGUCCGGAAUCAUUGGGCGUAAAGAGCGUGUAGGCGGUCCGGUAAGUCCGCUGUGAAAGUCGGGGGCUCAACCCUCGAAUGCCGGUGGAUACUGUCGGGCUAGAGUGCGGAAGAGGCGAGUGGAAUUCCUGGUGUAGCGGUGAAAUGCGCAGAUAUCGGGAGGAACACCGGUGGCGAAGGCGGCGAUCUGGGUGAGAUACUGACGCGUGAGGUGCGAAAGCGUGGGGAGCAAACAGG
rnacentral:rRNA from 1 species